rnacentral:rRNA from 1 species
GAUGAACGCUGGCGGCGUGCCUAAUACAUGCAAGUCGAGCGAACAGACGAGGAGCUUGCUCCUCUGACGUUAGCGGCGGACGGGUGAGUAACACGUGGAUAACCUACCUAUAAGACUGGGAUAACUUCGGGAAACCGGAGCUAAUACCGGAUAAUAUAUUGAACCGCAUGGUUCAAUAGUGAAAGACGGUUUUGCUGUCACUUAUAGAUGGAUCCGCGCCGCAUUAGCUAGUUGGUAAGGUAACGGCUUACCAAGGCAACGAUGCGUAGCCGACCUGAGAGGGUGAUCGGCCAAACUGGAACUGAGACACGGUCCAGACUCCUACGGGAGGCAGCAGUAGGGAAUCUUCCGCAAAGGGCGAAAGCUUGACGGAGCAACGCCGCGUGAGUGAUGAAGGUCUUCGGAUCGUAAAACUCUGUUAUUAGGGAAGAACAAAUGUGUAAGUAACUAUGCACGUCUUGACGGUACCUAAUCAGAAAGCCACGGCUAACUACGUG